rnacentral:rRNA from 1 species
UACGUAGGGUGCGAGCGUUAAUCGGAAUUACUGGGCGUAAAGCGUGCGCAGGCGGUUUUGUAAGCCAGAUGUGAAAGCCCCCGGCUCAACCGGGGAGUGCGGCUGCGAACUGGGUUUCUUGAGGACGAUAGAGGAGAGUGGAAUUCCUGGUGUAGCGGUGAAAUGCGUAGAUAUCAGGAGGAACACCCGAGGCGAAGGCGGCUCUCUGGGUCGUACCUGACGCUGAGGCGCGAAAGCGUGGGGAGCGAACGGG